UACGUAGGUGGCGAGCGUUGUCCGGAUUUACUGGGCGUAAAGAGCGCGCAGGCGGCUGGUCAAGUCCGAUGUGAAAGCUCCCGGCUUAACUGGGAAAUUGCAUCGGAAACUGAUCGGCUGGAAGGUGGGAGAGGGUAGCGGAAUUCCCGGUGUAGUGGUGAAAUGCGUAGAGAUCCGGAGGAACACCGACGGCGCAGGCAGCGUCCUGGCCGCUUGCUGACACUGAGGCACGAAAGCUGGGGGAGCAAACAGG
rnacentral:rRNA from 1 species